UCCCCUGGGAGGUCAGUGCAGGGUUCCUCCAUUUUGACAUGAGUAAAUUCUAGAUUAGGUAUUUGGCAGUUAACUCAUCUGGAUAUAUGGGAACAGAAGUGCCAGACACGUAGAUAAUAUUUGGAGAACAGGAGCAGACUUGGAACAUGCUGAAUAGAGGACAAGGAAGUAUCAUCAGACAAACUUAAAGAUGAUCUGACAAUGUCAUUUUCCAAGGGACUGAUAGAAAGAUUGAGUAUCAUGGAAUCAGAACAGACAACAGAGAAUCAGAUUUGGACUGAAUCAGAAUAAACAGGCAAUGCAGACACUUGUUCUCUGAAUCACAAUCAAGACUCAGUGCUGGAACAGAUUUGAGGAAUGUAUACAAUUCUUAUCUAAACUGAUGUCUGAUAUUUAACCAGGGGAGAGAAGAGACACCAGAUACUUGCAGACACAGAAGAAAUACCAUGUGCAAACAUACCCAGAAGACCACCAUCUGCAAGAGAAGGAGAGAGACCUCAGAAUACACCAAUGCUGCUGAAACCUUCAUCUUGGACUUCCAGCCUCCAGACUUUGAGAAAAUAAAUUUCUG
rnacentral:lncRNA from 1 species